rnacentral:lncRNA from 1 species
GUGGUAGACUCUCGCUGGCCUACAAACAUAUAGCACAAGAAACGUAAUGGGCCUUUGCAAGUGACGUCACAACACGUAUUUGGUGCCGCCAUUUUGGGUGGCAAAUUAAAAAUAGUCAAUUAAAAAAAAACAUGAGGUCAAAGCAAGACUGUGACACUGACUGCGACUGUUGCUCUUGUUUGAGAACUUUAAAGAAUGCUCCACAGCUGUGUAGUAGUCGAUUGAAUAAAAGGUUUUUGCCACCCAAAAUAGCAGAUUAUUUUUGAUGAUACGUCAUACUGCAAAACCCGAAUAGAUUUCAUCAAAGAAAUCGUUUCCACUAUGACUGCAGUGGUAGUAGUGACGACGGAAAUUUGGAAAAACGCCGGAUUCCCACUUUUCCAGCAUGUUUAAGCCAACGAGAAACUAGCACGUAGUAUUUAUAUAUAACCACUAGCGUAACAUGCAAUCGUUUUAAUAAAGUAUAGUUGCCACAAGUGGCGAAGCUAGUCAAAGAAAUAGGUCAUGCUAUGCAAAUUUUUAAUGAUUUGCAUCAUUCAAACUUUAGAAAUGUAUUGUAUUUACAUGCAGGUUUAGUAGCAUAGCAUGACCAGUUGCCAUGGCUAGCUUUACCACUGUUUGCUAUAUAGGCUUACAAGAUCGUCCUAUGCUGGGUGUAACCUAUAUUAAUUGAUAUAGCUUGAGUCCACGACUGAUACUCUAAUAAAUCCGCCAUACUGCAUUUCACAUGCAAGGUGUAAAGACUCUGUGAAUGCACAAAUUAGCCUAAGAGACAUAGACGGUGAUAUCAAAAAAAUUAAAUGUGGAGGUCUGCGGCGGAGGCUAAAAAAUCCCCCUGUAAAACUGCCAAAAGAAGUCCCAAACGACUCAAAGAGCUUCAAGAU